GAGAGAAGUGAAUAUGACAAUAAGGAAAAAAUAAUCAUUCUGAAGUGUCAGAAACUGCGAACAAGAGGAAACAAUUACAUAUAAAUAUUCUUCUGCAGUUUGGAUUGAAAUUUAAGUUGGAGAAUAGCUUAAGUCCUGCCUGUAACCUACGCAUCUGAUUAUUUCCCUAUCAUCAUUCACUUGGCUACCUGAUCUGAUAGCAGUGCAGUGGAUCCAUAGCAGCAUACCAGAGGUUGGAUCCUCUCUACAGCCUGAAUAUGCUUGGUUUCACCCCAAAAUAGCUUUGCUGAGCUUGGACAGAGAGAGAGGAAAAGCAACAGGCAGGGAAGAGCCAAAUAAAAGCAACAGAUGUUAACAGACUUCUGCCAACAUUUCCAUGAGCCUUCAUAGGCAGAGGGAGCAACCGAGUUGAGAUGUCGCCAUGGCAGGGUUUAAUUCCAAAACUAAUAAACAAACACAGGAAAACA
rnacentral:lncRNA from 1 species